rnacentral:rRNA from 1 species
GGUUGAUCCUGCCAGUAGUUAUAUGCUUGUCUCAAAGACUAAGCCAUGCAUGUCUAAGUAUAAACCAAAUUAUACGGUGAAACUGCGAAUGGCUCAUUAUAUCAGUUAUUGUUUAUUUGAUGAUACCCUACCACUUGGAUAACCGUGGUAAUUCUAGAGCUAAUACAUGCACGAAAUCUCGACUCUAUUCAGGGAAGGGAUGUAUUUAUUAGAUAAAAGCCAGCGCGGCACUUGUGCCGGACACCCUGGUGAUUCAUGAUAACUUUGCGAAUCGCAUGACAUUCGUCGGCGA